UACGGAGGGUGCGAGCGUUGUUCGGAAUCACUGGGCGUAAAGGGCGUGUAGGCGGUCCGCUAAGUCUGAUGUGAAAACCCGGGGCUCAACCCCGGGCGUGCAUCUCGAUACUGCCCGACUAGAGGUAGGUAGGGGAGAUCGGAAUUCCUGGUGUAGCGGUGAAAUGCGCAGAUAUCAGGAGGAACACCGGUGGCGAAGGCGGAUCUCUGGGCCUUACCUGACGCUCAGGCGCGAAAGCUAGGGGAGCGAACAGG
rnacentral:rRNA from 1 species